AAAUUGAAGAGUUUGAUCAUGGCUCAGAUUGAACGCUGGCGGCAGGCCUAACACAUGCAAGUCGAGCGGAAACGACACUAACAAUCCUUCGGGUGCGUUAAUGGGCGUCGAGCGGCGGACGGGUGAGUAAUGCCUAGGAAAUUGCCUUGAUGUGGGGGAUAACCAUUGGAAACGAUGGCUAAUACCGCAUGAUGCCUACGGGCCAAAGAGGGGGACCUUCGGGCCUCUCGC
rnacentral:rRNA from 1 species